AGAGUUUGAUUCUGGCUCAGGAUGAACGCUGGCGGCGUGCUUAACACAUGCGAGUCGAACGGAGGACCCUUGACGGAGUUUCGGACAACAGAUAGGAAUCCUAGUGGCGGACGGGUGAGUAACGCGUGAGGAACCUGCCUUGGAGAGGGGAAUAACACAGAGAAAUUUGUGCUAAUACCGCAUGAUACAAUUCUAUCGCAUGGUAGUGAUUGUCAAAGAUUUUUAUCGCUCUGAGAUGGCCUCGCGUCUGAUUAGCUUGUUGGCGGGGUAACGGCCUACCAAGGCUGCGAUCAGUAGCCGGACUGAGAGGUUGAACGGCCACAUUGGGACUGAGAUACGGCCCAGACUCCUACGGGAGGCAGCAGUGGGGAAUAUUGGGCAAUGGGCGAAAGCCCUGACCCAGCAACGCCGCGUGAAGGAAGAAGGUCUUCGGAUUGUAAACUUCUUUUAUGAGGGACGAAGGACGUGACGGUACCUCAUGAAUAAGCCACGGCUAACUACGUGCCAGCAGCCGC
rnacentral:rRNA from 1 species